rnacentral:rRNA from 1 species
AAGCAUAUAAGUAAGCGGAGGAAAAGAAACUAAAUAGGAUUCCCUUAGUAAUGGCGAAUGAACAGGGAUCAGCUCAGUAUGGAAAUCGGGGCUUCCCAGCCUUGAAUUGUAGUCUCAAGAGGUAUCGCCAACGGAGGCGCAGAUGUAAGCCUCUUGGAAAAGAGCAUCAAUGAGGGUGAGAAUCCCGUUUGUCAUCUGCAGUCCCCCGUGCACGGUGUAUCUUCUAAGAGUCGCGUUCCUCGGGAUUGGAGCGUAAAGUGGGUGGUAAAUUUCAUCUAAGGCUAAAUAUGGGUUCGAGACCGAUAGCAAACAAGUACCAUGAGGGAAAGAUGAAAAGGACUUUGAAAAGAGAGUUAAAAGUGCCUGAAAUUGCUGAAAGGGAAGCGAAUGGAACCAGUGCUCUUGGCGAGAUUGUUGUGCGCUAUGGUGAUUGCUGGCUGCUUCAGCGCAAGCGGGGUAGUUGGUACUGAGCCUGCCGCGCGCAGUGUUUCUUACCUUGUGCGUCACCGUCGGUUCACAGGCGAGGAUACUUCUGAGGACAUGGUAACUCUUCCACGGAGGUGUGAAUGUCUUUGGUAAUACUCGUUUGUAGACCGCUCACCUUCGGGUUACGAUGACUAAAUGGUUCUAUUCGACCCGUCUU